rnacentral:rRNA from 1 species
ACUCCUACGGGAGGCAGCAGUGGGGAAUAUUGCACAAUGGGCGCAAGCCUGAUGCAGCCAUGCCGCGUGUAUGAAGAAAGGCCUUCGGGUUGUAAAGUACUUUCAGCAGUGAGGAAGGCGGGUGUGUUAAUAGCGCAUUCGUUUGACGUUAGCUGCAGAAGAAGCACCGGCUAACUCCGUGCCAGCAGCCGCGGUAAUACGGAGGGUGCGAGCGUUAAUCGGAAUUACUGGGCGUAAAGCGCAUGCAGGUGGUUUGUUAAGUCAGAUGUGAAAGCCCGGGGCUCAACCUCGGAAUUGCAUUUGAAACUGGCAGGACUAGAGUACUGUAGAGGGGGGUAGAAUUUCAGGUGUAGCGGUGAAAUGCGUAGAGAUCUGAAGGAAUACCGGUGGCGAAGGCGGCCCCCUGGACAGAUACUGACACUCAGAUGCGAAAGCGUGGGGAGCAAACAGGAUUAGAUACCCUGGUAGGAUAGCG